GUGAUAUGAACCGUUAUAACCGGCGAUGUCCGAAUGGGGAAACCCAGUGUGAUUCGUCACACUAUCGUUAACUGAAUACAUAGGUUAACGAGGCGAACCGGGGGAACUGAAACAUCUAAGUACCCCGAGGAAAAGAAAUCAACCGAGAUUCCCCCAGUAGCGGCGAGCGAACGGGGAGCAGCCCAGAGUCUGAAUCAGCUUGUGUGUUAGUGGAACGGUCUGGAAAGUCCGACGGUACAGGGUGAUAGUCCCGUACACCAAAAUGCACAGGCUGUGAACUCGAAGAGUAGGGCGGGACACGUGGUAUCCUGUCUGAAUAUGGGGGGACCAUCCUCCAAGGCUAAAUACUCCUGACUGACCGAUAGUGAACCAGUACCGUGAGGGAAAGGCGAAAAGAACCCCGGCGAGGGGAGUGAAAAAGAACCUGAAACCGUGUACGUACAAGCAGUGGGAGCACCUUCGGGUGUGACUGCGUACCUUUUGUAUAAUGGGUCAGCGACUUAUAUUCUGUAGCAAGGUUAACCGUAUAGGGGAGCCGCAGGGAAACCGAGUCUUAACUGGGCGUUAAGUUGCAGGGUAUAGACCCGAAACCCGGUGAUCUAGCCAUGGGCAGGUUGAAGGUUGGGUAACACUAACUGGAGGACCGAACCGACUAAUGUUGAAAAAUUAGCGGAUGACUUGUGGCUGGGGGUGAAAGGCCAAUCAAACCGGGAGAUAGCUGGUUCUCCCCGAAAGCUAUUUAGGUAGCGCCUCGUGAACUCAUCUUCGGGGGUAGAGCACUGUUUCGGCUAGGGGGUCAUCCCGACUUACCAACCCGAUGCAAACUACGAAUACCGAAGAAUGUUAUCACGGGAGACACACGGCGGGUGCUAACGUCCGUCGUGAAGAGGGAAACAACCCAGACCGCCAGCUAAGGUCCCAAAGUCAUGGUUAAGUGGGAAACGAUGUGGGAAGGCACAGACAGCCAGGAUGUUGGCUUAGAAGCAGCCAUCAUUUAAAGAAAGCGUAAUAGCUCACUGGUCGAGUCGGCCUGCGCGGAAGAUGUAACGGGGCUAAACCAUGCACCGAAGCUGCGGCAGCGACACUAUGUGUUGUUGGGUAGGGGAGCGUUCUGUAAGCCUGCGAAGGUGUGCUGUGAGGCAUGCUGGAGGUAUCAGAAGUGCGAAUGCUGACAUAAGUAACGAUAAAGCGGGUGAAAAGCCCGCUCGCCGGAAGACCAAGGGUUCCUGUCCAACGUUAAUCGGGGCAGGGUGAGUCGACCCCUAAGGCGAGGCCGAAAGGCGUAGUCGAUGGGAAACAGGUUAAUAUUCCUGUACUUGGUGUUACUGCGAAGGGGGGACGGAGAAGGCUAUGUUAGCCGGGCGACGGUUGUCCCGGUUUAAGCAUGUAGGCUGAUUGUCCAGGCAAAUCCGGAUAAUCAAGGCUGAGGUGUGAUGACGAGGCACUACGGUGCUGAAGUAACAAAUGCCCUGCUUCCAGGAAAAGCCUCUAAGCAUCAGGUAACAUUAAAUCGUACCCCAAACCGACACAGGUGGUCAGGUAGAGAAUACCAAGGCGCUUGAGAGAACUCGGGUGAAGGAACUAGGCAAAAUGGUGCCGUAACUUCGGGAGAAGGCACGCUGGUGUGUAGGUGAAGUCCCUGCGGAUGGAGCUGAGACCAGUCGAAGAUACCAGCUGGCUGCAACUGUUUAUUAAAAACACAGCACUGUGCAAACACGAAAGUGGACGUAUACGGUGUGACGCCUGCCCGGUGCCGGAAGGUUAAUUGAUGGGGUUAUCCGUAAGGAGAAGCUCUUGAUCGAAGCCCCGGUAAACGGCGGCCGUAACUAUAACGGUCCUAAGGUAGCGAAAUUCCUUGUCGGGUAAGUUCCGACCUGCACGAAUGGCGUAAUGAUGGCCAGGCUGUCUCCACCCGAGACUCAGUGAAAUUGAACUCGCUGUGAAGAUGCAGUGUACCCGCGGCAAGACGGAAAGACCCCGUGAACCUUUACUAUAGCUUGACACUGAACAUUGAGCCUUGAUGUGUAGGAUAGGUGGGAGGCUUUGAAGCGUGGACGCCAGUCUGCGUGGAGCCAACCUUGAAAUACCACCCUUUAAUGUUUGAUGUUCUAACGUUGGCCCCUGACCGGGGUUGCGGACAGUGUCUGGUGGGUAGUUUGACUGGGGCGGUCUCCUCCCAAAGCGUAACGGAGGAGCACGAAGGUUAGCUAAUCCUGGUCGGACAUCAGGAGGUUAGUGCAAUGGCAUAAGCUAGCUUGACUGCGAGCGUGACGGCGCGAGCAGGUGCGAAAGCAGGUCAUAGUGAUCCGGUGGUUCUGAAUGGAAGGGCCAUCGCUCAACGGAUAAAAGGUACUCCGGGGAUAACAGGCUGAUACCGCCCAAGAGUUCAUAUCGACGGCGGUGUUUGGCACCUCGAUGUCGGCUCAUCACAUCCUGGGGCUGAAGUAGGUCCCAAGGGUAUGGCUGUUCGCCAUUUAAAGUGGUACGCGAGCUGGGUUUAGAACGUCGUGAGACAGUUCGGUCCCUAUCUGCCGUGGGCGCUGGAGAAUUGAGGGGGGCUGCUCCUAGUACGAGAGGACCGGAGUGGACGCAUCACUGGUGUUCGGGUUGUCAUGCCAAUGGCACUGCCCGGUAGCUAAAUGCGGAAGAGAUAAGUGCUGAAAGCAUCUAAGCACGAAACUUGCCCCGAGAUGAGUUCUCCCUGAGACUUUAAGUCUCCUGAAGGAACGUUGAAGACGACGACGUUGAUAGGCCGGGUGUGUAAGCGCAGCGAUGCGUUGAGCUAACCGGUACUAAUGAACCGUGAGGCUUAACC
rnacentral:rRNA from 1 species